AUGCCGCUGCCCAGCUGCGUCAACCCGGUGGUGCAGCUUGCCGGCAACUUCGCACCGGUGCAGGAAAUGUCGUCCCCGCUGCGGAACCUGCACGUCACCGGCGAGAUCCCGCCGGCUCUGCUUGGCGGCGUGUACGUCCGCAACGGGCACCACCUCUUUGAUGGCGACGGGAUGCUCCACGCAGUUUCAUUACCGUCAUCUUCGUCCUUGGCGCCGUCGGGGGCAUCUUACGUGCGUCGGUUCACGCGCACCAGCCGGCUCGUGCAGGAGGAGGCGCUGGGCCGGUGCGCGUUCCCCAAGGCCAUCGGCGAGCUUCACGGCGGCGCAAGUCUCGCCCGGCUCGCUCUCUUCGGCCUCUGCACGGUCGCCGGCAUCGUUGAUGUCAGAAACGGCACCGGCGCCGCAAACUCCGGGCUAGUCUACUUGGGCGGCCGCCUCCUCGCGCUCUCGGAGGACAACCUGCCGUACCAGGUGCACGUCGGUGACGGUGGCGACCUACACACCGUCGACCGGUUCAACUUCGCCGGGCAGCUGCGCUCACCGAUGAUCGCCCACCCCAAGGUAGACCCGGCCACCGGCGAGCUGUUCGCACUGAGCUACGACCCCGUGAGGAGGCCGUACCUACGGUACUUCUACGUGGAUCCGGCCACCAGGGAGAAGUCCCGCGACGUGGAGGUGGCGCUCCGGCAGCCGACGAUGGUGCACGACUUUGCCAUCACGGAGAGCUUCGCCGUGAUCCCAGACCAGCAGGUGGUGUUCGACAUGGGCCAGAUGCUACGUGGCCGCUCGCCGCUCGUGCACGACGAUGGCAAGGUCUCCCGUUUCGGCCUCCUCCCACGGUAUGACUCGAACGACUCGAGGAUGCGGUGGUUCGACGUGCCAGAAUGUUUCUGCUUCCACGUAUGGAAUGCAUGGGAGGAGACCGACCACGCCGGCGACGGCCCGGACACCGUAGUCAUCAUCUGCUCCUGCAUGAUGCCGCCAGACACACUAUUCUUGGAAGCCGCCGCCGAUGCCACGGCGAAUUUGCGCUCCGCCCUCACCGAGAUCCGGCUGGACCUCCGAACAGGGGUGUCUCGCCGGCGUGAGCUCGCGUGGGGGUUGAGCCUGGAGGCCGGCACGGUGAACCGGACCCUGCUGGGGCGGCGGACGCGGUAA
rnacentral:rRNA from 1 species